GAUAGCUUGCUUUCUUGCUGACGAGCGGCGGACGGGUGAGUAAUGUAUGGGGAUCUGCCCGAUAGAGGGGGAUAACUACUGGAAACGGUGGCUAAUACCGCAUAAUGUCUACGGACCAAAGCAGGGGCUCUUCGGACCUUGCACUAUCGGAUGAACCCAUAUGGGAUUAGCUAGUAGGUGGGGUAAAGGCUCACCUAGGCGACGAUCUCUAGCUGGUCUGAGAGGAUGAUCAGCCACACUGGGACUGAGACACGGCCCAGACUCCUACGGGAGGCAGCAGUGGGGAAUAUUGCACAAUGGGCGCAAGCCUGAUGCACCCAUGCCGCGUGUAUGAAGAAGGCCUUAGGGUUGUAAAGUACUUUCAGCGGGGAGGAAGGGGAUAAGGUUAAUACCCUUAUCAAUUGACGUUCCCCGCAGAACAAACACCGGGUAACUCCGUGCCCUCCGCCGCGGUAAUACCGAGGGUGCAAGCGUUAAUCGGAAUUACUGGGCGUAAAGCGCACGCAGGCGGUCCAUUAAGUCACAUGUGAAAGCCCCGAGCUUAACUUGGGAAUUGCAUCUGAAACUGGGUGGCUAGAGUCUUGUAGAGGGGGGUAAAAUUCCCUGUGUACCGUGGAAAUGCGUAAAAAUCUGGAGGAUUACCGGUGGCGCCGGUGGCCCCCUGGACUAUCACUGAUGUUCCUGUGCCAGAGGGUGGGGAGCCUACCGGAUUAAAUACCCUGGUAAUCCUGGUUGUAAACGAUGUCGAUUUUGAGGGUGUGGUCUUUAACCGCGCCUUCUGGAGCUAACGCGUUAAAUCGACCGCCUGGGGAGUACGGCCGCAAGGUUAAAACUCAAAUGAAUUGACGGGGGCCCGCACAAGCGGUGGAGCAUGUGGUUUAAUUCGAUGCAACGCGAAGAACCUUACCUACUCUUGACAUCCAGCGAAUCCUUUAGAGAUAGAGGAGUGCCUUCGGGAACGCUGAGACAGGUGCUGCAUGGCUGUCGUCAGCUCGUGUUGUGAAUGUUGGGUUAAGUCCCGCAACGAGCGCAACCAUUAUC
rnacentral:rRNA from 1 species